rnacentral:lncRNA from 1 species
AAAAGCAGUUCUUGUUUUCCUCCUCACCCUUGGCUUCACUCUCUGUGACUACACACCCGUUUUCUGUGGGUCUGUCCAAAGUUUGGCCGACCCUGGGUCGCAAGGUCGGAUGCGCCCGACCCCUCACGGCAGGUCUCCACCCCGCCCGACCCCCUUGUUGCAAGGCUCCGUUUCGCCCGACCCGGGCACUAAAGGUCGGACAUAGUGGGACCCCCAGGAUAAGGUUC